UUCUGGGGCCCUGGAGAUAGUGGAGGCAGGGCCGGUGGAAGUGGUGGCUGUGGAUCCCAAAUCUAUCUCCCAGCUGGUGCUCAGGAAGGUGCUGGUCCAUCUCACUCUUGAGAAACCCUCCUGGGAUAAAUGCAUUCCCUUUUUGUGGAGGGAGGGCUGGGCCACUGAGGAAGUGAUGUCUGUAGCCUGCAGGCCAGAGAAGGGGCUGACCUCUGGGGCAUGUUGCCUGAAACACUGAGCAACAUGGAAGAGCCACUCUGAAAGCACAGAAGAAACCUUCAAGACGAGAACCUGAGUAGGAGAAAAAUUCUGGGAGGACUAGGCCAUUUUGGAGCAUGUGAGAAGGAAAAUGCGUUGCAGAGAGCAGCCAGUCUCCUGAAGCCUCCCACGGCCCAGGGUGAGGACAAAGACCAGAAAAAACGCUGAACAUACUACUGCUUCUGGGACUGGCCACAGGCCACCACUCUUGUUCCUGGCAACCACAGGGCGACCUUUCCAUUUUACAUAGGAGGUGUUCAUCUCCAGAAAGCCAGUUCUCCUAGAGGAUUAGAGAAAGUUCUCUGGAUGGAGAAAGCCACAGAUGAGGAAGGAAGGGAGAACCAUCUGUCUAACUUCUCACACCACUGACAGACCUAGAUAAAUGAAAAGUAUGUAGGCGGAGGGAAGAAACGAAGAGAGAAGGCUACCUGGAGUUUCCGCAGGACACCAGAAGGCGGGAGCUAGAAACUCUUUGUCAUCUGCCUUCUUAAUGCCUACUUUAGUUCUUUCAAGUUUCAUCUCCCCUUAUGUGCUUCCUAAGAGCCUGCUGCACAUCCAGCAAUCUUCCUUAGCAUUAGUAUUACUUCUAGAAAUGAGUUUGGGCCAAAGAAACUAAGGACCAAGCAAAACAGAGUAAGGCAUAAUUUUGUACUUAAUUUACUUAAGUUGCUGAAUGAUUGUUCUUAACACGGUCUAAAACAUGUUCCAAAUGAAUAUUCCACUGUGUGAUAUUAAUAAACAACAUGCACACAAA